GACGAACGCUGGCGGCGUGCUUAACACAUGCAAGUCGAACGGGCCCGCCCCUGUUUUUGGGGGUGGGUUGAGUGGCGAACGGGUGAGUAUCACGUGAGUAACCUGCCCCCUGCUCCUGGAUAACUGCUUGAAAGGGCGGCUAAUACGGGGUGUGCCGGCUGGUCCGCAUGGGCCUGGUCGGGAUAGUUUCAUCUUCGGGUGUUUCGGUGGGGGAUGGGCUUGCGGCCUAGCAGCUUGUUGGUGGGGUGAUGGCCCACCAGGGCGGUGACGGGUAGCCGGCCUGAGAGGGUGGGCGGCCGCACUGGGACUGAGACACGGCCCAGGCUCCGGCGGGAGGCAGCAGUGGGGGGUAGUGGACAAGGGGCGGAAGCCUGAUGCAGCGACGUCGCGUGAGGGAUGGAGGCCUUCGGGGUGGGAACCUCUUUCUGCGGUGGUGAAGGCCCUGUCCGUUGCGGCGGGGUUGACGGUAGCCGGGUAUGAAGCGCCGGCUAACUACGUG
rnacentral:rRNA from 1 species